rnacentral:rRNA from 1 species
AGAACGAACGCUGGCGGCAGGCCUAAAACAUGCAAGUCGAGCGCCCAGCAAUGGGAGCGGCGGACGGGUGAGUAACACGUGGGAAUGUACCUUUCGGUACGGAACAACGCAGGGAAACUUGCGCUAAUACCGUAUGCGCCCUUACGGGGAAAGAUUUAUCGCCGAAAGAUCAGCCCGCGUUGGAUUAGCUAGUUGGUGAGGUAACGGCCCACCAAGGCGACGAUCCAUAGCUGGUUUGAGAGAACGACCAGCCACACUGGGACUGAGACACGGCCCAGACUCCUACGGGAGGCAGCAGUUGGGAAUCUUGGACAAUGGGGGAAACCCUGAUCCAGCCAUGCCGCGUGAGUGAUGAAGGCCUUCGGGUUGUAAAGCUCUUUUGGCGGGGACGAUGAUGACGGUACCCGCAGAAUAAGCCCCGGCUAACUUCGUGCCAGCAGCCGC